AUGACUGCAGCCUUGGUUUGAGUAGGUCGUCUGUUUGUCCCUAGAAUCAACGAAUCGAGGGAAUGUGCUAGUGCUGACAGCAAGACCUUGUCGAUCAUUGUCACUGCACUGUUUCUCUACUCUAGACGUACGAUUUUGUUGCAACAUCGACUUGUGAUGUCAUUUCCGUUUGAGCAUGUCGGAUGAAUAUGAGCGAUACGUUACUCGCAACAUCGUGCAACUUGUUGAAACGUUGCGUCCGUCGUUGCUAUUAGAACAUUCGGUCGCCAGUAAUCUUGUGACUAUGCAAGAAGCUCGCAAACUAAGACAAUGUUCUACAGAGCAAGACAGCGCGCGAAUGCUGCUCUACGAUAUCCUGCCAUACAAAGAAAACGCCGUCGAUCGAUUUUGCGAGGUGCUCAAACAAGCAGAUCAGUCGCAUAUCGCUAGAGACGUUAUGAAGAGAGGAGGCGUGGUUUGUACAGAUGAGUGUGCAAGUAAUCUGCAGACAGGACGGCAACACAUUAGAAGAGAAGUUAUGGGUAAAGAAGAUGUAGUGGAGAGUGCAAAGUGUAGCAUCAAAGUUGGUGUGAGUGGUCAGAAAGGGUCGAGUCAACGAUUUGUGUCAUCACCGUGCCGACCAUCUGGUAGUCGAUGUGAGAGUGAGAGGAAAGAGGGAACUGCAGCACGUGACUUAGAAGUUGUGAAAACUGCAGUGUGUAGUAGGAAAGUCAAUGCAAGCGUAUGUCGAUGGUUGGAAGAAGAAAGUGUGAGGUCGACAGAUUUCAGUUGUCAUGACGACUGCAAAGAGUCUGCAGCAGUGGAUGUGUGUGGGGAGAGGAAGACGGAGUCACUGGCAGAACAAGUAGAAAGUGAAGAUGAAGAAGAAACGUUAUCAUUUCUAGAUGCAGAAGUGACAACAUCACGUGAUUCAGAUAAUGCGGAGCACACUAAACCAGAGGUCUCACCCAUUGCUUCAGCUUCAUGUGCACAUUCUGAGUUACAGUCUACAACACAGGAAGAUGAGAAAAUCACGUCUCAAUCGACUUUAGUGGAAAUGAAAGGUGGAGACACACAAACAGAGACCGAGAGUGUGAGACAGCCAUUAGUGAUGUGUGAGCAUGCAUGGCUCUCACUCAUGUCUCGUGUUGAGCCGUGGUCAGCUAUUCGAAUGAAUUACUCUUUUCUGUCUCGAUGCCUUUGUUUUACCACUGAAUUUCUCGGCUGUUUGUAUGAACGAUUUCUCAUAUCCAAAGACGACUUCGAUGCUCUAAAGAACAACCGUCUCACUCAAGAAGGAAGAGUACAUCUACUUGUCAUUGAUAUUCUUCCCACUAAACCGAUUGUGAUGUUUGCCACAUUCUGCAACAUUCUUCGUGUUGUCGGUCAGUCACAUGUUGCUGACAAGCUGGAAGAGGAUCCUGUGAAAGUUUCUCUCUUUGCACAAGGGACAACAAUGUCACAAGAAACUGUGAGUCUUCAAAGGCAAGCGGAGCUGCUGCUUGUUCAAGUGUCUCAACUAGACAGGGAAAGAAGAGUAGCCGAGGAAAUGGCAAAACAGGAGAGACGACGAGCUGAUGCUGAAAAGAUACGAGCAGAUGCUGCAGAAACACGAGCUUGUAAUGAGAAAUCUCAAGCAGAUAGUGCAGAGGCUCGAGCAGAUAAUGCAGAGGCUCGAGCAGAUAGUGCAGAAACACGAGCAGAUGGUGCAGAGGCACGAGUGAAGGAAGUAGAGACAGAAAAGAUGGGAAUUGAAUGGACAAAUUUGUCAUUUCGAUGUUAUCAUCAACGUCCAGAUAAUUACAAGCAGAAUGCAUUACCAACAGGCUGGGAGAUGAGGAGGUAUGAUGGGAGAAUCUACUUUGUAGACCACAACACAAGAAGAACAACUUGGAAUGAUCCAAGGGAAAGGAAUGUGAAUGUUGGGUGUAAUGAGAGACGAUUUGAUGAGAUGCAGUCACAGCAAGAGAAUGAAAUCAAUGACAGUCUGCCAUCAUGGACACAGUGGAAUGUACACAUGCCUCAUGACAGUUGGUUUCCAUAUAAUAGAAUGGGAGAGAUUGAAGGCAGACUAGUGGUAGGAGGUGAUGAUGGUAAUCUGCAUGUUCUCACUUAUGAACAUGAUAAGUGGGACAAGUUUGUCAGAAAGAAUGGUGACAUCUGGAAUGUAGUGUGUGAUCAAGGUGUGUGUCUGGUGUGUGUGGAGGAUUUUGAUAAAGAUCAGUUUGUGAUUGAACAAUUUUAUUUGAAUGAAGACAAGAAAUGGCGUUUCCUCACAGUUCUACCAAAUGAACUGCAGUUGUAUUGUGUAUCUGUUGCUCUUCAUGACAACUCACUGUAUGUGGUGGGUAGUGAGACUAAGUCAGGGGAGAGAGUGAACACAGCACGUGUGUGUGACCUUCACAGCGGUCAUUGGUAUAAGAUGGAUGACAUGCAAACAAAACGUAGUUCCUGUUCUUCUGUUAUUAUAAACAACACAGUGUUUGUAGGGGGAGGAUUGACUGAUGGACUUUACUAUAGAAAUAUUGUUGAGUGUGCAGAUGUUCGUGAUAGAAAAUGGAGAACAAUCCCCUCUACAACCACAUAUAGACCUACACUAACGUCAGUCAGUAACAGACUGGUGGGGACUGGAGGAAGGACACAACAGUGGUAUUCUUCUUCUUCUAAUAUUGUAGAAUUAUAUGAUGAGAGAUCUACCAAAUGGCUUCCUCUUCCACUCAUGACACACAAACGGUCGUUACAUGCUGCAUUCUCAACUCAGAAUGGAGAACUCAUCACAGCAGGAGGGUUGGGUGGCUAUUCAAUAGAAAGUCUUAAGUGUGACUAAUAUUUGCAUUUUCUUUCAAUUUGUGUGUAUUUGUUAUAUUAUAAUCUCUAGUGUUUGUAUAAAGACAAUUUGGUGUGAAAUUUAGUGUGUGUAACAUAAACUAGAUCGUGAACGUUGUUUUCUUAAUUAGUAGUCACGUGAUUUGCAUUUUGAACGAGCAGUGGUGAAGUGGAAAAAGGAAUGCAAGCGUUGAACAUCCGGGAGAGUUUGUGGUUAAUUUCUAGCUUUAAAUGUUUGUUCGUGUUCGUUGCUCUCUGGACAAGCGUAGCAGUAAAUCUGGUUUCAUAACGGAAAUCACCGAGAAGGUUAUCGAUGCCAGUCAGUUAAUCAUUGAAAUGUCGACGACGUGAAUGGAUUUUUCUUCAUUUCUCAAUCGGAACUUGUCUGUCUUGCUUUAGUUGGCGAGGUUGGACUUGCGAGAUUGAUAAACGUGGUUCGUAGCUUUGAUAUUCGUGUUGAGAGUGGAGAAAACGACGAAUUGAAGUGAAAGUUGUCAGAGCAAGUCACGUGAUCGAUAGUUUAGAAAUAAAUUUGAGCGAGUGCAAGAUGAGCUGGUGUACGAGCUUUUGACUAGAAACAGUGCCAACGUAAAUAAAUAUACAUAAAUUGUUAUUGUCAUAAAAUUAAUCUAUAUUUAACGCGCGUUAGGUAGAGCGUUUGCGUACACAACCGUUGUAAUAUAUUUUAUUACGUUAAAUAAUUAAUUAAAACAAGGACGAGACGUUAUGUUAAUAUCAAUUCUAUAUCAAGCCAGUUAUGUCUGUGUGGUUUGCAGCUAAUUUUGAGUCUGUGAUUUGAUAUCAUCAAGAGUUGGAGUUUGGCCAUUGCAAAGUGGUCGUUGACUAUUGCACGUGGAGAAGGCUUGAAGGCGUCAGGCUGUGGAGCAUCAAUGACAUCCUCAUUUCCUUAUGGAUCUGGUACGUGUGAUGUUGGCGUGUGGAAUAGAGAAAUGGGCGUGUCAAUAGCUAGACUAUAAUGUCAUUGGACUGACGACUGUCAACGGCACCGAGUUCUUACUGCAAGCUCCAGACACUGAGACUGGAGAUAGUUGGCUGAGGUGAUCGGUGAUACGAUACGACAGCUGGAGCAAGACAAAACGAUUACGAAUCCAAUGGCUGCUGAAUGUGACAUUCGUUCAACUCACAGGCCAUUGCUUGAUGCUCAUAAUAGACUUGGUGGAGGUGACCGUGGUGCAUCUGAGAUUAUGGAUCAUGCCUUCUAUAGCAGCAUCAACUGGCAGGACAUUUACGAUCGCAAGGCAAGUUCCUCCUUCGUUUAUACCGAACGUGUCUGAGCAAGAAAUUGGUGACAAAUACAUUCCUGCCGAGUUCAAGUCGGAUACAGUAGCAAAUACACCAUCAGACCGUGCAGGUGCUCUGCAUGGUGGGGAAGGAGAGCCAUUUGAGCAGUUUACGUUUGUGGGUGACAAAGGCAAUCUGCACACAUGAUUUCGUUUGUAGGAUUUUUGUGGGAUAUCGUACAUUUCAAGUUGAUCGUGAUUGGAUAGGAGGAAUGAACUGUUCUAGAUUCAUGUUUUUAUUAUUCUUGUAUUGUCGUCUAUUAGCAGUGUACGUGAAGUAUUCAACACUAGAAUGUGUUGAGCAGUUAAUUAAAGUGUUUGACAGUG